rnacentral:lncRNA from 1 species
AAGAAUUGAUCAAAUACAAAGGGUUUCAAGUUGCCCCUGCCGAGCUCGAAGCAAUGCUCAUUGCUCACCCUGAAAUCAUCGAUGCUGCUGUCGUCGCGUAAGUUUUAAUAACCCCGAAAGUAUUAGUCUCUAUGAACAGGAAAAAAAUUGUUUUAACAUCAAAGCUUACUUUGAUUUCAGAAUGAAGGAUGAAGCAGCUGGGGAAGUACCUGUUGCAUUUGUGGUGAGAUCAGAUAAAUCUCAGAUCAGUGAAGAUGAAAUCAAGCAAUAUAUUUCGAAACAGGUGGUGUUCUAUAAGAGAAUAAGCCGUGUGUUCUUCAUUGAAGCCAUUCC